rnacentral:tRNA from 1 species
GCUGGAAUAGCUCAGUUGGUUAGAGCGUGUGGCUGUUAAUCACAAGCCCUCCUUCUAGCA